AUGCAUUAUGUGAAUGGAAGUCUCUAUCCUUGGAUAUGCCAUGAAAAGAUUGAUGGGGGCAUCCACUCUCAAAUACAGAUAGCCAGAAGGAAAGUGGCAAGUACAAAGCAGUUUAUUAAACUGAAAGACACUCUCAAGUGCUUUGAAACCUGCCUGUGUCUGACAUCUGCAAAAUCCACUUUGGGGAGACUCCGAAGUGUACCUCAAAGCAACAAGUAUUUAUCCAUAACAAUAGUGACCAGCAUUGAUUUAUUUUUGCCGUUAAGCAUUUUGAUUGAAUUCUAAAACAUGAACAGUGGUUUGAUUGAAGUACAACAUAUACAAAAGAGUGCGCAAAUAAACUCUAAUUGCAUAACUUCAUGCAUAUUCUGUAUAAACACAGAUCAGGAAUAAUAACAUUUCCAACCAAGUGGAAAUCCAGCUUCCCCGUUGUUAACGCCUGAAAAGCUCAUUAAUACAUUGGCUUUGGUUACCGUAUGGUAGUUUUGGCUAUGUAAAAUAUUAUCCAAGUUGAACACAGAACAUACACAAAUGGAACAAUUAGAGCAAUUUGAGGAGAUUUUUGUGUUUGAAUCACCAUUUUGUUUGUGUGAUUCAUCUACUAGCUCUGUAUUGCAGUAGGUUGUUAAUUCUCAUUUCUCUCCACAAUUCA
rnacentral:lncRNA from 1 species